GCAUGCGACAGCUCAAAUUCAGCACUUCAGCAUCCUUGGCCAUACCUGAAAGAGCUGUUUGAAGUGAAGACGAAGAAGGGCAAUUGUAUGAUUAUGUCAUGCCAACUUUGCUUGCCUAAGCCAGUUUAAAUCUCGGCAUUCAAGAGUUCUACAUCCAAUUUGAAAAAACACAUUGAGAGAAAACAUCCAAUGAAAUUAAAGCAGUACAAUGAAUGCAUCUUGAAAAGAAAGAACAGAGGUGUGAUUCAGCUGUGAAACAGAUGAAGAUUAAAGACUUCUCUGUGUCCUGCAGGCAGGUUACUCAGUCCACAGUUGACAGGCUUGUAGUUGAUUUUGUCUGUGAAAGCCUUCAGCCCUUUACCAUAGUUGAACUUCCUACAUUCAAAAAUCUAAUCUGUACAAUGCAACCUAGCUGUACAGUUAUGUCCAGACCAACUAUGAAGCUGAGAAUUGGGGAAGCAGCCGCAAAGAUAAAGAAAAACAUCAUUGCUGAGAUGGCAAAAGUCAACUAUAUAGGUACCACUACUGACUGUUGGACAGCACGACAACAGUUACAUUGGUGUAACAGCACACUGGAUUGAUGAACCUACUCUGGAAAGAAGGUCUGCUUCCAUUGCCUUCAGACGCUUGAAAGGUUCACAUACAUUUGAUUUGCUCGCAGGGACCUUGGUUGACAUCCACUCGGAAUAUGGCAUCUCAGAAAAAAUUGUCAGAACGACAACUGAUAGUGGAUCAAAUUUUAUCAAAGCCUUUAGAGUGUAUGGUGAACCGAGUCAGCAAGAGUUAAUUGAUGCUGAGGCUGACUCUGCUGAGGCAGUGACACUGGAUGAUGAGAAUGAUGCAAAAGGAUUUGAAGUUCAGGACACCUGUUCCAUUUUCAACGCUAACAGUGGGUUGGAGUAUCAUCUACCCAAGCAUCAGCGUUGCACGUGUCAUCUCCUUAAUUUGGUGGCUACUGUGGAUGCUUCCAAGGCAGAGGACAGCAGUGAGGUAUUUAAGAAGCUUUCCCGUUCAACAUUUGCGAAAUACCAGGCAUUAUACAAUAAAACCAGCCGGUCUGCCAUCAGUGCUGAGAUUGUGCAAGAAGAAUGUAAGCUGCAGUUCAUUCAGCCCAACCACACACGAUGGAAUUCAGUGUACAAUGCUGCAGAGAGUGUAAUGCGGAUCCUAAAGGAGCAGGGAGAAGCAUCCCUUCGGAAUGUACACUCACCUAAAGGAUUAUUAGGAACACCAUACUAAUACUGUGUUUGACCCCCUUUCGCCUUCAGAACUGCCUUAAUUCUACGUGGCAUUGAUUCAACAAGGUGCUGAAAGCAUUCUUUAGAAAUGUUGGCCCAUAUUGAUAGGAUAGCAUCUUGCAGUUGAUGGAGAUUUGUGGGAUGCACAUCCAGGGCACGAAGCUCCCGAUCCACCACAUCCCAAAGAUGCUCUAUUGGGUUGAGAUCUGGUGACUGUGGGGGCCAUUUUAGUACAGUGAACUCAUUGUCAUGUUCAAGAAACCAAUUUGAAAUGAUUCGAGCUUUGUGACAUGGUGCAUUAUCCUGCUGGAAGUAGCCAUCAGAGGAUGGGUACAUGGUGGCCAUAAAGGGAUGGACAUGGUCAGAAACAAUGCUCAGGUAGGCUGUGGCAUUUAAACGAUGCCCAAUUGGCACUAAGGGGCCUAAAGUGUGCCAAGAAAACAUCCCCCACACCAUUACACCACCACCACCAGCCUGCACAGUGGUAACAAGGCAUGAUGGAUCCAUGUUCUCAUUCUGUUUACGCCAAAUUCUGACUCGACCAUCUGAAUGUCUCUACAGAAAUCUAGACUCAUCAGACCAGGCAACAUUUUUCCAGUCUUCAACUGUCCAAUUUUGGUGAGCUCUUGCAAAUUGUAGCCUCUUUUUCCUAUUUGUAGUGGAGAUGAGUGGUACCCGGUGGGGUCUUCUGCUGUUGUAGCCCAUCCGCCUCAAGGUUGUGCAUGUUGUGGCUUCACAAAUGCUUUGCUGCAUACCUCGGUUGUAACGAGUGGUUAUUUCAGGCAAAGUUGCUCUUCUAUCAGCUUGAAUCAGUCGGCCCAUUCUCCUCUGACCUCUAGCAUCAACAAGGCAUUUUCGCCCACAGGACUGCCGCAUACUGGAUGUUUUUCCCUUUUCACACCAUUCUUUGUAAACCCUAGAAAUGGUUGUGCGUGAAAAUCCCAGUAACUGAGCAGAUUGUGAAAUACUCAGACCGGCCUGUCUGGCACCAACAACCAUGCCACGCUCAAAAUUGCUUAAAUCACCUUUCUUUCCCAUUCUGACAUUCAGUUUGGAGUUCAGGAGAUUGUCUUGACCAGGACCACACCCCUAAAUGCAUUGAAGCAACUGCCAUGUGAUUGGUUGAUUAGAUAAUUGCAUUAAUGAGACAUUGAACAGGUGUUCCUAAUAAUCCUUUAGGUGAGUGUAUGUGCAGCAUUCAAAAUUAAAAUGCUAAAUCCUGCUGAAGUUUCUUACCUCUCCGAAUACUGCAUUGUGAUGAAGCCUGUAUCCAUGGCCUUGAACAUCCUUCAGUCCGAAACAAACACUCAGAUGGGGUGGCUGCUUCCCACAAUCUACCUUCUUGAUUCAAAGCUCAAAAAGAUGGACGCUUCAGUCAAGGUAUGUCUUUCCCUUAUUCAUGCUCUGCAGCGGGGUCUACAAAAGCGCUUUGGGGAGUUCAUGGAAGAUCCGGAACUCAUCAGUGCUGCAAUUCUUCUUCCCAAAUUCAAAACGUCAUGGACGGACAAGGCCCACAUCAUAAAAGCAGGUAAGAUAUUUUGUAUAGGAGUACAGAUUACUUGAUGAAAUUGAUAUUAUGCCAAUAUCUGUUAAAGCGUGAAAACACAUGCAGCUUUUUGUUUUUUAAUAUCAGGCCGGACUCAUGGGUACAUUUCGCUUAAAAUCCCACUUGUUACUGUUGCACUACUGCGUAUGGAAAAUGUUUGUGUGGAGUUAAACUAUAGGUUCAAUGUUUAUUUACUUGCCUAAUCUAGCACAGUCGGACUGUGAAACGAUGUUAGAAAAGGCAAGGGUAUAGGGUUAAAUGCAGCAGUGCUUAUGUAGCAAGUGAACGGCUUUAUUUAAUUUCUAAAUUAUCCAUGACAACCCCAAUACUUGGUCCAUACAACAUAGUUUGACUAUCAGCAUUAUCCACAAUUAUCACUAAUUUCUGUAUUAUGUGUAUAUCAUAGGUAUGGAUUACAUCCUGCGUCGUCUUGAUGCCAUGAAGGACACCCAGGAAAAUGAAUCACAGCGUGUCUCUGACGAGGAUGACUUCUUUUCUUCCAUUAAGACUGUUCCAUCCACAAGAGCAUCUGAAUUGGAUGGAUACUUGGCUUGUGCCUCAGAAGAGAUGGAACUGCUUCACUCAUUUCCUUUGGUGAAAAAGCUAAGCCUUAAACUGAACACACCCUUGCCUGCUUCUGCAGCAUGUGAGCGCCUUUUUAGUUGUGCUGGGCAGCUGUUUACACCUAGACGAGCAAGGCUGGACAGUACAAAUUUUGAGAAUCAGCUCAUUGUAAAACUGAACAACAAAUUCAAAAUGUAAGCUCGUUGUUGACCCCUACAUUAAAAUCGCUGCAAGUCUGUGUUCAUGUUGAGAGACUUUGUCAGUUAUUGCAUGUUAUAUUCACUUUAUUAAUCCAAUUUGUGCUACCGGCUCACCUUUUAUGUAAAAUUGUUAAUGUACAAAGCUUUGCAACCUUUUUCAAUUAACCUGCAAGAAAACCUCUACAGAAUGGUUGUCAUAAAUGUUACCAGAUUAUUGGUUGCUUUCUCAAAUAUUACAUGGCUGUAUUUUCAGUGCUA